UCGAGUUCGCAACUGAAUCAAAUUAGGCAUUCAUAUAAAGAUGCAAAUAAUUAAGAAAAAAUCGUAUAAUUAUAUCUAGGUAUUCCUAUGAAACCCAAAUCUAUACAUAAGGCAUAAUGCUUGUUCAUUUAAUACUAAUUCUUCUAUAGUUGCUCUUGGCUCUUGCAAUGCACUCCUUUUCUAAUUGUCCAGCUACCCUAAAAAAAAGAGAUAACAUAGAAAUGUUAGAACAUAAGCUUUAAGACUAGUGCAAGAAGAAAUGUCCGUUGAAGAAAUUGUAAGAGAUGUAAUGUACCAAUGAUUUGUGGCUUCUUUUGAGGCUGUGUUGCAGCGUUCGGAUUGGUUUUUUGACCUAAAAAACACUAAUAUUCUUCAUAAAUAAUGAACCCUAAAGUAUGGACAUUGGAGCAAACUCAAUGGUUUCAUGGAAGUGUACUUAGAUGUGGUAGAGGCCAUGCAACACCAUGACCAAUGACCUAGUAGAUUCAGGAGCCUUGUUUGGUAAUAAAUCAUCAAUCUGUGGAGGGUCUUGUAAAUUUUCUUCAUCUGAUUGUACACUUUUAGCAGCCUGCAUUGGGAUGUUCAUGCUUCGAAGCCAUGUACGUACACUUGGCAUACUAUCUUUGGGAAGACAAUGUUAAAAUUAUAUGUUAAUCAACAAGCUAAUGACAUGUAACGUGUGCAUACAGUUGAAUGUCAAGGUCAUGCAUUGCGCUACAUUAUCUAAUAAACAACUCGGGUUUUUGCAUCCAUAGAACAAACAGACCAAACGUCUGAUGUAUUGAAGUGGUAGACUGAAGCUGAUUUCAAGAUCAAAUGAAUUGACAGACUGUGGUACUUUGAUACUGCCCUUCGGCACAAGACAAUAAAGAUGUUUGUGCGUGUGGAUCUAUAUGUGUACCUGUUUUCUGGUGUAUUUGUUAAACAUUCUUCUUUGUCAAAGAAGACAUGAUGUCAUGAGAUGAUUCUUGUCUGUUGCAUUUCAAGUUUUCAACAAAGAAACAUCCUGAGAUUGAGACUAAAACAAAUAUAAUACAGCCUGUUAAAUAAUAUAAGAAGGGACUGAAUUCAAAUUUCUGAAGACACCUACUCUUAUGCACAUGGACACUUGAUACUUAUACACUGAAGUUCAUAUACUUUGCUACAUGAUACAUGGUUUAAUUUUUACCAUUACUCUGAAUACUUUGAGUAAAUAUAUAGUGUAUGCACGUUGACUGCAUUAAUUCAGUAGUAUAUCUGAAUGUUCAGUAUUCAGUUGUACUUGCAUGUUCGACUUGUGCCUCCAUGUUCAUUAUGCAGAAGCAGCCAGUGUGCAAAGCUAGCGUAUGUAUGAGUCAGCAAUUGAACAUAUUAUACUGUUGUAACAUCUGAAAUUUAAUUUAACAAAAAUAGUUUCCCACUGUGUAUUAGCCCCUACUUGGAACUCAUUCAAUUUGUUUUACAAGCAAAGAAGAUGUAGUGACUUCUACACCCCCGUGCGUAAUUCAGAUGUAAGCAUCAGUAUAUUCGUACUUUGAUUUUCUCCAGCUCCUUGCUUUACCAUCACAUUAUUAAGAUGUUCUAUAUUUUUAUAUGAGCUAGUGCACAUAGAUCCCCUAUAAAACUGUCCAGUGCCCUGUUUUUGUAAUCAAAAUUUCGAAAAGUCAUGGUAAACACUUGAUGUUAGGUCUGUGAGGGCAACAAACAACAGUUAUACUACUUUUUCAUUUUUACCAUAUAUAAUUUUAUUGGACCAUACAGUUGCUCACGUAUUUUAAGAAAACGUAUCCAAAUUGAUUUCGAGGCAAGGAAACAAUUCAACAAACACUACUUAGAGAAUAGAGUGCAUUGCCUACCAGCAGAAAGUAAGGAGACGGAGGUGGAAGUGUCGAACUAAGAAAAGAGAACCAAUCGGGAUAGAGGCCUGAGAUGCAAAAAUGAAGGGAACCACAUUGAUUGAUUUAAUGUUAAAAACUGUAGACGAUAUGUGAUUCAAGGGAUCACCUGCUGAUGAGCCGGAGGCUGAAAAUACUGGAUGGACGCGAGAGGCGGGGCGAUGUAGCGGCGGAGCUUCGGGUGAAGGAUGUGCUCGACCUGGAUGUGGAUUGCUGAUGGUGAUGAGGACUUGGGGAGGAUCACGUUCUUGGCGACGGCGACGACGACGACGAUGUACGGCGACGGGGCUCCAAUUACUGAGAUUGCCGAUGGAGGAGAGUAGGAGUCGGCGGCGGGCAGAGCUACCGGAGAAGUGCAGUGCUUCUAGGGGAGUCUUCACCGCGCGAUGUGCGGGAAUGCGCAGCCCGCAGCACAGCAGGGUUGGUGAUGGCGGCGCAGAUUGGAAUCGACGGGGGGAUUAGAGGUUGGAGAAACGGGUGGAGAGAUGGGACGUGGGAAAAUUAUCCGGCAAUAAAUUG
rnacentral:lncRNA from 1 species